CUGCAUGUCUGGGCCUUGGGCCAGUCUCCUCCCCUCUCUGUUGGGAGGGUUGACAUAUUGAGACAUGCUAGAUGAAACCCCAUGGAGUUAACAGGGCCACCAGUCUCUCAAGAACAGACUGAGUCGGUAGUAUAAUACUCCAACAACU